rnacentral:rRNA from 1 species
UACGAAGGGGGCUAGCGUUGCUCGGAAUCACUGGGCGUACAGCGCACGUAGGCGGCUUUCUAAGUCAGGGGUGAAAUCCUGGAGCUCAACUCCAGAACUGCCUUUGAUACUGCAAAUCUCGAGUCCGGAAGAGGUGAGUGGAAUUCCUAGUGUAGAGGUGAAAUUCGUAGAUAUUAGGAAGAACACCAGUGGCGAAGGCGGCUCACUGGUCCGGUACUGACGCUGAGGUGCGAAAGCGUGGGGAGCAAACAGG